UGGAUUAGUGGCGAACGGGUGAGUAACACGUGAGUAACCUGCCCUUGACUCUGGGAUAAGCCUGGGAAACUGGGUCUAAUACCGGAUAUGACCUUCCAUCGCAUGGUGGUUGGUGGAAAGCUUUUGUGGUUUUGGAUGGACUCGCGGCCUAUCAGCUUGUUGGUGGGGUAAUGGCCUACCAAGGCACGACGGGUAGCCGGCCUGAGAGGGUGACCGGCCACACUGGGACUGAGACACGGCCCAGACUCCUACGGGAGGCAGCAGUGGGGAAUAUUGCAAAUGGGCGCAAGCCUGAUGCAGCGACGCCGCGUGAGGGAUGACGGCUUCGGGUUGUAAACCUCUUUCAGUAGGGAAGAAGCGUAAGUGACGGUACCUGCAGAAGAAGCGCCGGCUAACUACGUGCCAGCAGCCGCGGUAAUACGUAGGGCGCAAGCGUUAUCCGGAAUUAUUGGCGUAAAGAGCUCGUAGGCGGUUUGUCGCGUCUGCCGUGAAAGUCCGGGGCUCAACUCCGGAUCUGCGGUGGGUACGGGCAGACUAGAGUGAUGUAGGGGAGACUGGAAUUCCUGGUGUAGCGGUGAAAUGCGCAGAUAUCAGGAGGAACACCGAUGGCGAAGGCAGGUCUCUGGGCAUUAACUGACGCUGAGGAGCGAAAAGCAUGGGGAGCGAACAGGGAUUAGAUACCCUGGUAGUCCAUGCCGUAAACGUUGGGCACUAGGUGUGGGGGACAUUCCACGUUUUCCGCGCCGUAGCUAACGCAUUAAGUGCCCCGCCUGGGGAGUACGGCCGCAAGGCUAAAACUCAAAGGAAUUGACGGGGGCCCGCACAAGCGGCGGAGCAUGCGGAUUAAUUCGAUGCAACGCGAAGAACCUUACCAAGGCUUGACAUGAACCGGACCGGGCUGGAAACAGUCUUUCCCCUUGUGGGCUGGUUUACAGGUGGUGCAUGGUUGUCGUCAGCUUGUGUCGUGAGAUGUUGGGUUAAGUCCCGCAACGAGCGCAACCCUCGUUCUAUGUUGCCAGCACGUGAUGGUGGGGACUCAUAGGAGACUGCGGGGUCAACUCGGAGGAAGGUGGGGACGAGUCAAAUCAUCAUGCCCCUUAUGUCUUGGGCUUCACGCAUGCUACAAUGGCCGGUACAAAGGGUUGCGAUACUGUGAGGUGGAGCUAAUCCCAAAAAGCCGGUCUCAGUUCGGAUUGGGGUCUG
rnacentral:rRNA from 1 species